GCAGACGUAGCUCAGUUGGUAGAGCACCGGACUUCGAGAGCCGGUAUGUCGUGGGUCCGUGCCCCAUCGUCUGUGCCA
rnacentral:tRNA from 1 species